rnacentral:rRNA from 1 species
UGCGAGUCGAGAGUCUUAGGGACUCGGCGUACCGCUCAGUAACACGUGGGUAACCUGCCCUAUGCUGGGGGAUAACCUCGGGAAACUGAGAAUAAUACCCCAUAGUUCACCACGCCUGGAACGGUGGGUGGACCAAAGCUCCGGCGGCAUAGGAUGGGCCUGCGACGUAUCAGGUUGUAGGGGGUGUAACGUACCCUCUAGCCAUCAACGCGUACGGGUGUUGGGAGACAUAGCCCGGAGAUGGAUUCUGAGACACGAAUCCAGACCCUACGGGGUGCAGCAGGCGCGAAACCUUGGCAAUGCGAGCAAUCGUGACCAGGGAACUCCAAGUGGCUGGGGUAAGACCCAGUUUUUUCUUGACUCUUCAAAGGUCUUGGAAUAAGGGGUGGGUAAGGACGGUGCCAGCCGCCGCGGUAAUACCGGCGCCUCAAGUGGUAGUCGCUUUUAUUGGGCCUAAAACGUCCGUAGCCGGUCUGGUACAUUCGUGGGUAAAUCAACCCGCUCAACGGGUUGAAUUCUGCGAGCACGGCCAGACUUGGGACCGGGAGAGGUGUGGGGUACUCUCAGGGUAGGGGUAAAAUCCUGUCAUCCUGAGAGGACCACCUGUUGCGAAGGCGCCACACUAGAACGGAUUCGACGGUCAGGGACGAAACCUAGGGGCACGAACCGGAUUAGAUACCCGGGUAGUCCUAGGUGUAAACGCUGUGGACUUGAUGUUGGGGGCGCUCC